rnacentral:rRNA from 1 species
CCUACGGGAGGCAGCAGUGGGGAAUUUUGGACAAUGGGCGCAAGCCUGAUCCAGCCAUGCCGCGUGCGGGAAGAAGGCCUUCGGGUUGUAAACCGCUUUUGUCAGGGAAGAAAUCCUUUGGGCUAAUACCUCGGAGGGAUGACGGUACCUGAAGAAUAAGCACCGGCUAACUACGUGCCAGCAGCCGCGGUAAUACGUAGGGUGCGAGCGUUAAUCGGAAUUACUGGGCGUAAAGCGUGCGCAGGCGGUUAUGCAAGACAGAUGUGAAAUCCCCGGGCUUAACCUGGGAACUGCAUUUGUGACUGCAUAGCUCGAGUACGGCAGAGGGGGAUGGAAUUCCGCGUGUAGCAGUGAAAUGCGUAGAUAUGCGGAGGAACACCGAUGGCGAAGGCAAUCCCCUGGGCCUGUACUGACGCUCAUGCACGAAAGCGUGGGGAGCAAACAGGAUUAGAUACCCUGGUAGUCCACGCCCUAAACGAUGUCAACUGGUUGUUGGACGGCUUGCUGUUCAGUAACGAAGCUAACGCGUGAAGUUGACCGCCUGGGGAGUACGGCCGCAAGGUUGAAACUCAAAGGAUUGACGGCUGAGAGAGCGAGACGACGACGAGGGAGGAGG